rnacentral:rRNA from 3 species
GGUUAAGCGACUAAGCGUACACGGUGGAUGCCCUGGCAGUCAGAGGCGAUGAAGGGCGUGCUAAUCUGCGAUAAGCGCCGGUAAGGUGAUAUGAACCGUUAUAACCGGCGAUACCCGAAUGGGGAAACCCAGUGUGAUUCGUCACACUAUCAUUAACUGAAUCCAUAGGUUAAUGAGGCGAACCGGGGGAACUGAAACAUCUAAGUACCCCGAGGAAAAGAAAUCAACCGAGAUUCCCCCAGUAGCGGCGAGCGAACGGGGAGGAGCCCAGAGCCUGAAUCAGCAUGUGUGUUAGUGGAAGCGUCUGGAAAGGCGCGCGAUACAGGGUGACAGCCCCGUACACAAAAGCGCAUGUGCUGUGAGCUCGAUGAGUAGGGCGGGACACGUGGUAUCCUGUCUGAAUAUGGGGGGACCAUCCUCCAAGGCUAAAUACUCCUGACUGACCGAUAGUGAACCAGUACCGUGAGGGAAAGGCGAAAAGAACCCCGGCGAGGGGAGUGAAAAAGAACCUGAAACCGUGUACGUACAAGCAGUGGGAGCCCCACCACUAAGCCAGUGGUGAACUCCACAUACGCAUCCUUUGCUGAGGAUACGGUUAACGGAGCGAAAGCGACGUUCAACCGCAAAAGAAGCAGAGGGGGCUUAGUGGUGGGGUGACUGCGUACCUUUUGUAUAAUGGGUCAGCGACUUAUAUUCUGUAGCAAGGUUAACCGAAUAGGGGAGCCGGAGGGAAACCGAGUCUUAAUUGGGCGUUAAGUUGCAGGGUAUAGACCCGAAACCCGGUGAUCUAGCCAUGGGCAGGUUGAAGGUUGGGUAACACUAACUGGAGGACCGAACCGACUAAUGUUGAAAAAUUAGCGGAUGACCUGUGGCUGGGGGUGAAAGGCCAAUCAAACCGGGAGAUAGCUGGUUCUCCCCGAAAGCUAUUUAGGUAGCGCCUCGUGAAUUCAUCUCCGGGGGUAGAGCACUGUUUCGGCUAGGGGGCCAUCCCGGCUUACCAACCCGAUGCAAACUGCGAAUACCGGAGAAUGUUAUCACGGGAGACACACGGCGGGUGCUAACGUCCGUCGUGAAGAGGGAAACAACCCAGACCGCCAGCUAAGGUCCCAAAGUCAUGGUUAAGUGGGAAACGAUGUGGGAAGGCCCAGACAGCCAGGAUGUUGGCUUAGAAGCAGCCAUCAUUUAAAGAAAGCGUAAUAGCUCACUGGUCGAGUCGGCCUGCGCGGAAGAUGUAACGGGGCUAAACCAUGCACCGAAGCUGCGGCAGCGAACGUAUCACUUAAAGCGAUUCAGCGGGUUACGAUUGACGGAGCGAAGCGACGUCAAAGCGUAUACAAAGUCGAGUCGGUUUAAGGAUACGUUCGUUGGGUAGGGGAGCGUUCUGUAAGCCUGCGAAGGUGGCCUGUGAGGGUUGCUGGAGGUAUCAGAAGUGCGAAUGCUGACAUAAGUAACGAUAAAGCGGGUGAAAAGCCCGCUCGCCGGAAGACCAAGGGUUCCUGUCCAACGUUAAUCGGGGCAGGGUGAGUCGACCCCUAAGGCGAGGCCGAAAGGCGUAGUCGAUGGGAAACGGGUUAAUAUUCCCGUACUUGGUGUUACUGCGAAGGGGGGACGGAGAAGGCUAUGUUGGCCGGGCGACGGUUGUCCCGGUUUAAGCGUGUAGGUGUGUGUUCCAGGUAAAUCCGGUUCACUUUAACACUGAGGCGUGAUGACGAGGCACUACGGUGCUGAAGCAACAAAUGCCCUGCUUCCAGGAAAAGCCUCUAAGCAUCAGGUAACAUCAAAUCGUACCCCAAACCGACACAGGUGGUCAGGUAGAGAAUACCAAGGCGCUUGAGAGAACUCGGGUGAAGGAACUAGGCAAAAUGGUGCCGUAACUUCGGGAGAAGGCACGCUGACACGUAGGUGAAGUGAUUUACUCAUGGAGCUGAAGUCAGUCGAAGAUACCAGCUGGCUGCAACUGUUUAUUAAAAACACAGCACUGUGCAAACACGAAAGUGGACGUAUACGGUGUGACGCCUGCCCGGUGCCGGAAGGUUAAUUGAUGGGGUCAGCGCAAGCGAAGCUCCUGAUCGAAGCCCCGGUAAACGGCGGCCGUAACUAUAACGGUCCUAAGGUAGCGAAAUUCCUUGUCGGGUAAGUUCCGACCUGCACGAAUGGCGUAAUGAUGGCCAGGCUGUCUCCACCCGAGACUCAGUGAAAUUGAACUCGCUGUGAAGAUGCAGUGUACCCGCGGCAAGACGGAAAGACCCCGUGAACCUUUACUAUAGCUUGACACUGAACAUUGAGCCUUGAUGUGUAGGAUAGGUGGGAGGCUUUGAAGUGUGGACGCCAGUCUGCAUGGAGCCGACCUUGAAAUACCACCCUUUAAUGUUUGAUGUUCUAACGUGGACCCGUGAUCCGGGUUGCGGACAGUGUCUGGUGGGUAGUUUGACUGGGGCGGUCUCCUCCUAAAGAGUAACGGAGGAGCACGAAGGUUGGCUAAUCCUGGUCGGACAUCAGGAGGUUAGUGCAAUGGCAUAAGCCAGCUUGACUGCGAGCGUGACGGCGCGAGCAGGUGCGAAAGCAGGUCAUAGUGAUCCGGUGGUUCUGAAUGGAAGGGCCAUCGCUCAACGGAUAAAAGGUACUCCGGGGAUAACAGGCUGAUACCGCCCAAGAGUUCAUAUCGACGGCGGUGUUUGGCACCUCGAUGUCGGCUCAUCACAUCCUGGGGCUGAAGUAGGUCCCAAGGGUAUGGCUGUUCGCCAUUUAAAGUGGUACGCGAGCUGGGUUUAGAACGUCGUGAGACAGUUCGGUCCCUAUCUGCCGUGGGCGCUGGAGAACUGAGGGGGGCUGCUCCUAGUACGAGAGGACCGGAGUGGACGCAUCACUGGUGUUCGGGUUGUCAUGCCAAUGGCACUGCCCGGUAGCUAAAUGCGGAAGAGAUAAGUGCUGAAAGCAUCUAAGCACGAAACUUGCCCCGAGAUGAGUUCUCCCUGAGACUUAGAGUCUCCUGAAGGAACGUUGAAGACGACGACGUUGAUAGGCCGGGUGUGUAAGCGCAGCGAUGCGUUGAGCUAACCGGUACUAAUGAACCGUGAGGCUUAACCUU